rnacentral:rRNA from 1 species
GGAGGAGGCUAGCGUUAUUCGGAAUUACUGGGCGUAAAGCGUGCGCAGGUUGUGAGUUCAGUUGGAUGUGAAAGCCCGGGGCUUAACCUCGGAUGUGCAUCCAAUACUGGCUCGCUGGAGGUUGGAAGAGGAGAGUGGAAUUCCCAGUGUAGAGGUGAAAUUCGUAGAUAUUGGGAAGAACACCAGUGGCGAAGGCGGCUCUCUGGUCCAUACCUGACACUCAUGCACGAAAGCGUGGGGAGCAAACAGGAUUAGAUACCCUGGUAGUCCACGCCGUAAACGAUGUGUGCUAGACGUCGGGAGGCUUGCCUCUCGGUGUCGCAGCUAACGCGAUAAGCACACCGCCUGGGGAGUACGGCCGCAAGGUUAAA